GAUGAACGCUGGCGGCGUGCCUAAUACAUGCAAGUCGAGCGAACAGAUAAGGAGCUUGCUCCUUUGACGUUAGCGGCGGACGGGUGAGUAACACGUGGGUAACCUACCUAUAAGACUGGGAUAACUUCGGGAAACCGGAGCUAAUACCGGAUAACAUUUGGAACCGCAUGGUUCUAAAGUGAAAGAUGGUUUUGCUAUCACUUAUAGAUGGACCCGCGCCGUAUUAGCUAGUUGGUAAGGUAACGGCUUACCAAGGCAACGAUACGUAGCCGACCUGAGAGGGUGAUCGGCCACACUGGAACUGAGACACGGUCCAGACUCCUACGGGAGGCAGCAGUAGGGAAUCUUCCGUAAUGGGCGAAAGCCUGACGGAGCAACGCCGCGUGAGUGAUGAAGGGUUUCGGCUCGUAAAACUCUGUUAUUAGGGAAGAACAAACGUGUAAGUAACUGUGCACGUCUUGACGGUACCUAAUCAGAAAGCCACGGCUAACUACGUG
rnacentral:rRNA from 1 species